UACGGAGGAUGCAAGCGUUAUCCGGAAUGAUUGGGCGUAAAGCGUCCGCAGGUGGCUAUGUAAGUCUGCUGUUAAAGAGCAAAGCUUAACUUUGUAAAAGCAGUGGAAACUACAUAGCUAGAGUGCGUUCGGGGCAGAGGGAAUUCCUGGUGUAGCGGUGAAAUGCUUAGAUAUGACAUAGAACACCAAUUGCGAAGGCAGCUCGCUACGCGGUUAUUGACACUGAGGCACGAAAGCGUGGGGAUCAAACGGG
rnacentral:rRNA from 1 species